AUGUAAAUUGCGGGUUGCAAAUGAAAAAUCGCGCGGAAGAUUCAUUACUCCGCGCGAUUUUCAAUAGCAUUGAAAUACUGCACGAAAUUCGGGUUGCUAUGUGGUUACGCGAUAAAAUUUGAUUGGUUCCGACACCUAGAAAGAACCAAUCAAAACUCGCGUCUUAUCCAGCAUUCAUGCAGUCAUCAUGAUGACGGUUGUUUCACAUUAACACAAAACCUUUUAAGGGCGAAAGAGUGAUUAAUUUUGAUGACAUUAGCAAUGAGCUGUAGCAGUGUUCCCAACUUGAACAUCAUCUUAUGUGUACAUAUCUGAGGCAGAGCCAGCUUGCCCAUCUGACCUCUGUUGUGGGCAACCGAGUAAGAGCCAGCUUGCAUGUCAUCUGUUGUGGACAUCCGUGUUAGAGCCAGCUUGCACAUCCUCUAUUGUGGACAUCAGUGUUAGUGCUAGCUUGCAUGUCAUCUGUUGUGAACAUCCGUGUAAGAGCCAGCUUGCACGUCAUCUCUUUUGGACAUCAGUGUUAGAGCCAGCUUACACAUCCUCUGUUGUGAACAUCCGUGUAAGUGCUAGCUUGCACGUAAUCUGUUGUGGACAUCUGUGUUAGAGCCAGCUUGCACGUCAUAUGUUUAGGACAUCAGUCAGAGAUAGCUUGCAUGUUAUUUACUUGUGGACAUUAGUCUGAGCCAGCAAGGACAAUCUCUGUUGUGGAUAUCUGUCUUAGAGCUUGCACGUCAUCGGUUGUUCACAUCCUUGUAAUAACCAGCUUGCACAUCAACUGAUGUGGAAAUCUGAGUCAGAGCCAGCUUGCACAUCCUCCGUUGUGGACAUCUCUUUAUGAUUCUACUCUUUGCUUAGAUUGACACUGUGACUUUAGUGUAAUAUGUUACAACCUUAAGCUAUUCCUAUUGUUGAAUAAAAAUAUUGUGUCAUUAAAAUAUAUUUUGUUGGAUAAUUUGUAUGUUGAGUUGUAUUGUUUGGUCAUUGCAAAGUAUCAAGUUAUUUUAAGACAAGAAAAAGCUCAUCUUUCAUCAUGUAUUUAUAUUAAAAUUCUUGAAUGUUAGUGAAGGUACAGUUCAUAUAAUUAAAAGCAAUUGUAAUAUGAUUGCUUGUGUUUUAUUGCACAGUGAAUACCAUCUUGUCUUUAUGCUGACAUAUAGAACGGAGAAAUAGUAAACUGUCGUUUUUAUAUGCAAUGGGAUUGUAUAUGAAGACUUGUAUGUUCAGAUGAAAAAAAUGCCAUAUUUUUUCUCUUUAUAUUUUAUUCCUGCUAAAUGGUUGAUGCAAUAAAGUUAAGUCUUUAA